ACCGGGAGGGUCUAAUCGGUUAAGACGUCGCCCCUGAUAGGCGAAAGUUGUGGCUUCGAUCCCCGCUCCUGGUU
rnacentral:tRNA from 1 species